CUUAGUCCAGCUGGUUUUGGGUGCACUUAGAAAUCCCCACAGGGAAUUUUAUCUGGCAGGGCUGGGAUCCUCUCUUCCCGGUCACAGCUAACAUAAAAACAUUUCUACUGAUUAGUUGCACUUAUUUAUUUGUCCAAACACACAGCAGCCCAAGCCUGUAUUUGUGUGUGUGUACUCAAAUGUCUUCCAAAAGCCACUCCUACCACCCCUGCAAAAUAGUUGGAGGGUGACACAAGAGCGAUAAACAUCUGGCCAUGGGAAUGCUCUGGAGUGAAUGGACUUGUGAAUGGGGACCGGUGGCACUGAAGUGGUGGUGAUUUCACUCCACAUGAGACCGAAAUAACCCAGGCUCCGAUGGCCCUGUGUCCCAAGGGACAGGCAGUGACCCUGAGCCCCCAGCUCAGGAAAGUCCCUUGCUCAAGGAAGAGGCUUCAGUAGAUGCUUCAUCCAAACUUUUCUGCUGGCAUGGAUCGAGGUUGGAUUUGUGAUUUCAUUGUUCACGCUGAAAUCCUUGCUUAAUGUUGACUCACCAGGGGAAGCAGAGGUUUGUGAUCUGUGGCAGGAAUCAGCUGUCUUGUUCGUCAAAGCUUCCAGCUUGAUGACGGGGUAUUUGUUGGAAGAUGUAAGAAAUUCUACUGCUUGGGACUGAGAUAAUGUCACUUAAUUGCUAAGACACUGGGAAAGCCUCAGAGACUGAGUCCAUACCAACUGCUGGUUCACAUGCUGGUGAAAUCUUGCUCUUGAGCAUCUCAGCGCUGGAAUUGCGAAGUGCCCGGUCCUCAGCAAGCGUGUGAGCGAGCAAAUCCCUCCAGCAGCGUGGAUCGUUCUUCUGCACCCAUUGUUAUGGAAAUCGCCUUAGAGACUGUUGCUCCAGCAAUCAUUUUUAGAAGCACGAGCGAGUUGCGCAACAGGAAAAGCGCUCGGAGGUGAGGAAAGCCCCCCUGGAGGCUCUCGGCACUGCCCCUUCCCCCAGCAGGCUGCGGAGCCCUGCUGGCUCUCCUGGUGGGGAUGGGAUUCAGGGUGUUCCUUUGCCUAGUAAGGCAGGGAGAAAGUGCUUCUGCAGGAGAAGCCCCUUCUGCGUCAGUCUCCAAGGAAACCCUUGGUGGCUCAGCCUUCGUUGCACGCCUGGGCAGUGGCUCACACAUCCCAGACUUGUGCCUGAAUCACACAUCCACACUUUGAUCUGCCAGUGGCGUUUUAUGGGUGCAAAUUUUAGGCAAAUGGUGGGGUUUUCCUACCCCUACACGCCACUUUAUCUCAGAGAGCCUCAUGGUUGGCUUUGGUGUGCAGCACCAGUGAAACCAGCCCUAUCUCUGUUUCGAAUGCACAUUCCUCACCGUUUAGUCUGGAAGGAGAAGCCUUCUAAUGCUCCCACACCUCCCAGCUUCUCGGGAGCAAGCCUGGGAGCCUGGUGGUUACAGGGAGGCUCGGGCAGCAGGUGCUUCCAGGUGUGCUGCCACCAAGCCUGGGUGCCGUGCCUGAGCCAGGGCAGGUCACCCCUCUGCCCCCUGCCUGGUGACAAGCAGGAGGGGUAGAGGAGAGCAAGUCACUGCCCCAAAAGCUUCCAAACCCCCACAGGUUAGGGUUUGCCCACCCACAGGGCAGUCCCACUGCUCGUCCCCCAUUUGUGCUCAAAUGCCGAGCCCUGAGUUUUAAUUUUAAAAAAUCAUCUCUUCUUGUCUCAAUUAACUACAAACAAUUGCUUCUCUUGAGUUUGCUUCUCAAGCUCCUCAUCACUGCCUGCUGUGGAGCAGGAGCAGCUCUCCAGCCUGUGCCCAGGAGCUUCCUGCAGCCUCGGCUGAUGGAAGGGGAAAAGCACAGAUCCAGUGACCUUUGUUUGCCUCACUGCUGCCCACAGUCCCUGCCUGACAUUUGAGGAGUGCUCUUAAAAGAAAAGUACCAUUUCUGGCACACUGGCCCUGCUGCUGAAGAGCUGUUCCUCUUCCACCUCCUUCAUGUGCUGGGAUUAAAAGCUACAGGUAAUCCUGGGGAGUAAAUGAAAGGCUU